CAAACAAGUUUGUUUACAUUUGCAGGAGAUAAUGCUGCCCUCUUCUUUUUCACAAUGUCACCUGCAAAUGAGAACAAGUGUUCACAUGACACUUGUAGCAGGCACUGCUGUAAAACAA